UGUGUGUGUGCUUUCCCUGAAAUUGGUUAAACUUCCACUCAGCUUUGGAAGCUUCUAAUAAGCGGUUCACAGCCUUUUCUUCUCUUUCUUCUCUUUUUUUGCUUCAGUGGGAUGGAUGGCCAAACAAACUUUCUGGUGGCCGUUAAGAAGAACAAAAUUCUUUGCGGAAGCACGUGCCAGUGUUUUACAAUGCACAGCACACAUCGAGGCUUGUGGCACACACUGGAACACAAUCGGAUUCCGGAGCUCUAGGGACAAAGAGUGCUGCUAAUUUGUGCAGCCGCUGCUUUAGAAUGGUGAGCAGGCGGGACACUCCUCUAAGAAGAGGAAGUCAGGGCAUCAGCGCAAAUUGAUUUUCCAGGCGAAGGAAAGGGAAAGCCCCAUCUUGGAAGAAAUUUCAGUUUCUGUGGACCUGUGGACCUGAUGUCAGGUUACCUUGCCCCUCCCCAGCAGGAGCCAAAUGCCUGCGUCUUUUCUCCUGGAAAGCUGCCUUUCUAAGCUAGAGAACUGCUGCCACAAACCGAUUCUGAGAGGAAGGGAAUGUACUCUUCGUAUUUAUAGAGAAAACCAGGAAGUAAGGAGUCGCAGCCCCGGCUUCCUGGUCGGGCUGUUGACUCACACUGUCAUCCUUCAGGCAGUUUCCUUCGUUUCUUUGCACCUCAGUUUCUCAGUUAAAUGAAGGAUGAAAAUGGAAUUCCCCUAGAGGCACUGGGAAUACCUCAUUAAUGUUUGCAUUUCUUUGUGAUAACUGGGAUUCAAGAUCUGAUUCCUGCAAACCAGCAUUACAUGGAAGAUUUCAUCUUUAUUGUCAACUCUAGGCCAUCUUCAAAUUAGUCACCUUUCCCACUACUAUCCAUUCCAUGAUGUCCCCUUCCCACUCGGCCUGUUCUUUUCUGUGGUGACUUCAAAUGAUGUCAUUUGCAUGAGGUUUUGUCUCUGAAGAGAGGAGGCUUUAGUUUCUCUUGGUUCAUUCCAGAACAUGUGUCCUUAGCUCACCACAGGCUUGACUGGUUGUGGGAGAUAGGAUUGAGAGGCCAGGAAUGGGAUCUCAGUCACAACCUCCGUUCUCUUUUAAGGAAUUUAGGUUGUCCCUUUGUACUUGGUUUUGUUUUUCCCCUUCAACGUGUCGACCUCAUUGUUUGACUGGGGUGAACACAUCACUUCCUCUUUGGGGGUCUGUGUUUUGUCUCCUGCUGGGUUUGAAAUGUCAUGUAAUUUGUUGGGUUUUCACGGGAUUAUGUUUGGAGUUUGUUUGUUUUUUUGGUGUUCCCAAAUCAUCACUGUUCACCAGAACCCUCCCUCUUCUACCUCCUGAUUAAUGAUGUGAUAGAAAUGUGCACUCCUCAGCAUUUACCAAGAGAGACACAUUCAUCUUGAACUGCUCUGUCUGUUCUGUUGCCUAUGAAGGGAGUUCCCCUGCAAGGACAAAAAAAAACCAACAAACCCCACAGUGCUGUUAUCUUUCCUUCCUGCCGUGCGGUCAGGCUGCUCUGUCACUUUGCUCAUUAUCUGGCCAAACUUCUUCACUUCAGAGUGGAUCUCCAUGCUCCUCAUCCGGAAUCUGGUGCAAGCCUCAGGUCCUUCUCUCUUCAGACUCACCAGCCUUUCCUCAGCUCCUCAUUCCUAGAAGCAACAUUUAUCUGCUAUAACGUAAGAGGGAACCACUUCACAGCUUUGGAACUGGAGGCAGAAACAAUACUCUGCUGAAGAACUGACCUCAGUUGCUGCAUUUAUGGAAAGCAGUCUCUGACCCCAGGACUGUCCAGGUGCUUGUGCUAGUAAGCCCUGUCAGAGUGGAGUUCUCUUGGUGUUAGAACACUGCAUGUUGCUGACGGAAUUCCUUCAGCUCUAUCACGAAACACGUUUGGGUGCUGGAGAGAUUGAAAUCUGUUGAAACAAAACGAUUUCCUCAGCUGAUGAUGCACUUGGGCAUUUUCCAUUCUUCCUAAUGAAAAAAAGAGUCUUUGCUCAUGUGACUGAGAAAGCCCAGUGAAAGAUGCCACAAACAUCGAGAACUGACUCCUGGCCCCAGACCACUGGUGGCGAAGUCCUAUAUUUUGACACGAAGCACAGCAUACAGUGAAGAGCUGCCUGAGCUGGUCUUUGGCCUCUUCUAGCUUGCAUUUUCUGGUUCUUUAGUUAUCAGAACACUGGGGAUUGACUACCCCUGGAUGCCUGGAGCUUUUCAAGAGGCGAUUGUUUCCUUGUGGCAUGUCUAUGCUGACAAUCCCUGGAGACUCCGCUUCCUCUUUCAGUUCCCUGGUGCAGGCUCUAUUCCCUACAAGCCCCACUCUAAGCUUAUUGUUUCAUGGAAAACCAGUCUUGCAAGACAAAGGGUUGUGGGUCAACAAUGGCUUUCCCUUGGAGCUAUUUUUAUUUUACUUGGAGAUUCCUGGUAAAAUUACCAGUGCCUUCAUCUAAGUAAAUAAAUAUCUGGUGUAGGGAAUUUGAGGUAUGUGGCAUGACAAGUUGGGUGGAUAAUUUGGCCUGGGAGGGGGUUUCUUUUCAACAGCCCCUCCUCCCCACACGUAGGAACUGAACAUUUUACAAAUCAUUCUAGUUAAGUCCCUUCGUGUCUGUUUCCUUGUCUAUAAAUAAAUAGAAAUUAUGAUUUUAUAA